rnacentral:lncRNA from 1 species
CAAUAUCGGAUUGGAGGCAUGAUAAUUAAUAUGGUAAUUGACUCAAUGGUUAAUUUGGACAGAAUUGUUAGAUGCAUAUUAGGGAUAACAAUUAAAAAGUUCUCUUGAGUUACUUGAAAUUUAAAUUUUGAAUAUUGACCAUGUUUGUGGCUGGAGGGGUAGUCUUUAGUGAAGCCUGGAAGGGGGAAGAUGACCCCUCUGUUCAUGUUUCGGG